CCGGUUUCCCAAUAGCGAUGGAAUUUAGGCUUACUAGUGUUUUAACAAUGCAUCGUAAAAAUAACUUCACUCCCGUUUCCCAUGACACCACGCAGUGCACUCGUUACAAAGUGAUAGCUUGCUGUGUGUGUUGGCAGUCAAUGUUAAUAUUUUAUCUCUGUUAGCUCAUUGCACAUUUUAUUGUGUUGCACAUUUUCUUCUGUUCCACUGAAUGCUGUUUUGAUGAGUAACUAAAUUUGUUUUCAGAAUGUAGUUGGGACAGAGAGCCCAGCAGGCUACACAACAACACAGCUGGAAAACUACUCAAAACGUAUACAAAUAACUUAAAAAAGAUUUGACUGCUAAAUGGAACUUAACUGGCUAAUUUUAGCUAGCUAACAUUAACGUAGCUCUCUGGCUAAUCCUCCAUGGACAUGGAAUCUUCGAGCUUGGAUGGAAGGAUGGAGAAGUGAACAAAGGGAAUGAGUACAGAAGUUAUCCAGCAUGCUGACUAAGACAUUUAAAUAGCCUAUGUUUUGCUAUCUAUCUCUUUCUCUAUCUCUCUCCGUCUAUCUGCCUGACAGCCAGAUUGCUGAGGGUCAACAUAGUCAAUGUACUUGCUAGGCUAAGUCUAACUUAGUGAAGACCUUAGGUGAUGGUUAAUCGGGAUUCUUCUGUCUUUACAGUUCCUGAAACAUGUCAAUGACCGGAUGCAUGGCUUCUACAGCAGUGCUUGGCCACCCACUCAGUUACCAGGGACCUAUUCUGCCACAUCUCAGGGAAAGGAGACAGCAGAACCACCCCUCCCUAAAUCCAUAGUCAUUGAAAGACCAUACCUCAGGACUACCUGGCGUGAUGACUCCUUGCUGUCCCAAGUCCACCUGGCCAUGCUGAUGCUCCAGUUUCAACUGUUCUGCCUGCGGCUAUGGAACCCUGACCUGUUCACCGGACGUGCUACCUGUCCCAGACCUGCUGUUUUCAACUCUCUAGAGACAGCAGGAGCGGUGGAGAUACUCAGAAUUAUCUGCUAUGAAAAGUCAACUGACAUUUAAUCCUGAGGGGCUGACCUGUUGCACUCUCGACAACCACUGUGAUUAUUAUUAUUUGACCCUGCUGGUCAUCUAUGAACACUUGAACAUCUUGGCCAUGUUCUGUUAUAAUCUCCACCCGGCACAGCCAGAAGAGGACUGGCCACCCCUCAUAGCUUGGUUCCUCUCUUAGUUUCUUCCUAGGUUCUGACCUUUCUAGGGAGUUUUUCCUUUCCACCGUGCUUCUACACCUGCAUUGCUUGCUGUUUGGGGUUUUAGGCUGGGUUUCUGUACAGCACUUUGAGAUAUCAGCUGAUGUAAGAAGGGCUAUAUAAAUACAUUUGAUUUGAUUUGACAUCCAAGCUGUUACAUAUCUAGGCUUUCCAAAAUGUCACGUUCAUCAGUGUGUUGGUGUUUUGACAGAAACCGGUAUUCCAAAUCAGAGUUCCGAGUUUGAUUAUAUUCUGUAGAAUAGGGACUAACAACACAGUUUUAAAAUAACUAUCAUAAAACAUUACAUAAGAUUUAUGGAUUGCGUUAUCAAUGGUUUCUGUGUUAUACUUCUAAAGCCUUAUGGUUAUGCCUCUCUCAAAGCUCAUAAAACAUCUUAGAUGCACACAAGCACCAUUGUCAACCCAAAUGUAGAGAGUAGAAUAUAAAAUACAAUCUUUGUAGAGUUCCAGUCAAAGGUUUGUACACACCUACUCAUUCCAGGCCUUUUCUUUAUUUUUUACUACACUGUAAAAUAAUAGUGAAGACAUCAAAACUAUGAAAUAACACAUAUGGAAUCGUGUAGUAACCAAAAAAGUGUUAAACAAAUCAAAAUAUAUUUUAUAUUUGAGAUUCUUCAAAUAGCCACUCUUUGCCUUGAUGACAGCUUUGCACACUCUUGACAUUCUCUCAACCAGCUUCACCUGGAAUGCUUCUCUAACAGUCUUGAAGGAGUUCCCACACAUGCUGAGCACUUGUUGGCUGCUUUUCCUUCACUCUGCAGUCCAACUCAUCCCAAACCAUCUCAAUUUGGUUGAGGUCGGGGGAUUGUGGAGGCCAGGUCAUCUGAUGCAGCACUCCAUCACUCUCCUUCUUGGUAAAACUGUUGGGUCAUUGUCCUGUUGAAAAACAAAUGAUAGUCCCCCUAAGCGCAAACCAGAUGUGAUGGCAUAUCGCUACAGAAUUCUGUGGUAGCCAUGCUGGUUAAGUGUGCCUUAAAAGCACCCCCACAGCAUGAACACCUCCUCCUCCAUGCUUUACGGUGGGAAAUACACAUGUGGAUAUCAUCCUUUCACCCACACCACAUCUCACAAAGACACUGCAGUUGGAACCAGAAAUCUCCAAUUUGGACUCCAGAACAAAUGACAAAUCUCCACCGGUCUAAUGUCCAUUAAUCGUGUUUCUUGGCCCAAGCAAGUCUCUUCUUAUUAUUAGUGUCCUUUAGUAGUGGUUUCUUUGCAGCAAUUCGACCAUGAAGGCCUGAUUCACACAGUCUCCUCUGAACAGUUGAUGUUGAGAUGCGCCUGUUACUUGAACUCUGUGAAGCAUUUAUUUGGGAUGCAAUUUCUGAUGCUGGUAACUCAUAGUGCUUGAUGGUUUUUGCAACUGCACAUGAAGAAACCUUCAUAGUUCUAUUGACUGACCUUCAUGUCUUAAAGUAAUGAUGGACUGUUGUUUCUCUUUGCUUAUUUGAGCUGUUCUUGCUAUAAAAUGGACUUGGUCUUUUACCAAAUAGGGCUAUCUUCUGUAUACACAACUGAUUGGCUCAAAAACAUUAAAAAGGAAAGAAAUUCCACAUAUUAACUUUUAAGAAGGCACCUCUUAAAUUAAAUGCAUUUCAUGUGACUACCUCAUGAAGCUGAUUGAGAGAAGGCCAGUUGUGCAAAGCUGUUAUCAAGGCAAAAGGUGGCUAUUUGAAUAAUCUCAAAUAUAACAUAUAUUUUGAUUUGUUAAACACUUUUUUGGUUACUACAUGAUUCCAUGUCUGUUAUUUCAUUGUUUCAUAGUUUCAUGAUGUCUUCACUAUUAUUCCACAAUGUAGAAAAUAAUAAAAAUAAAGAAAAACCCUUGAAUGAGUAGGUGUUCUAGAACUUUUGACCGGAAGUGUAAGUGGCAUGUGAACACAAAUUACACUCAUGCCAAUUAAAAACUAUGGAAGAAAACGUCCCUCUCUGCAGGGCUUCCUCCUCGGUUGCGUCCUGCCAAUGCAGAUACCAGCCAAUUCCAGGCCGCCAGGUGGGUAGGGCUGCCGCACUGCUUCCGAGUCACGGCAGCAAAUUAUAACAUAAGUACCUGUGAGGGCAUUUUCUGUUAAACCUUACUAAUGCUUGUAUACUAAAAUAUCCUUAUUUAAGCCUAGGCAUUGGACUUGAGAUUGUUUUAAGAAACUAACUCAUAUAAGAUAGAAAAGUGUGUGUGCAUUAAUAAGAGGCCUGUUCUAACUGUUCUGUAUGUGUAGUAUAACCCCAUGAUAUCUGGGAGCUCAACCAAGAGCUGACUGAAACGACUCAUGUUUUGUGUGUGUGACCAGUACAACCGUACAUCAUCUUGGCCAGCAGUCAAAGGCACUUGCUUGCCCAACUUGGGGGAACUGUUGAGCUACUGUUAGAGGAAGUAUGCCUGGAGUGACUUCCUGUCAUUCUGGUCCUUGUUGUCCUUACUCAGUUGAGACAACUGGGUGAAAAGGUUACUUCAGUCUGUCUCCCCUCACACACACACAUACAUAGGGUCACGUGUUUUGCAGAUGCUUGCAUGGGGUAGCUUGACUAAAUAAAUGCUCCUGUUGUCACGUUCUGACCUUAGUUCUUUUAUUACAUCUUUGUUGUAGUAUGGUCAGGGCGUGAGCUGGGUGGGUAGUCUAUGUUCUUUUUUCUAUGUUGGGUUUUGUGUUUGGCCUGGUGUGGUUCUCAAUCAGAGGCAGGUGUCGUUCGUUGUCUCUGAUUGAGAAUCAUACUUAGGUAGCCUUUUCUCACCUGUGUUUUGUGGGUGAUUGUUUUCUGUUAUGUGUCUGUCACCUUACAGAACUGUUUCGUUUCGUUCUCCUUUGUUAUUUUGUUUAGUGUUCUCUGUUUAGUAAAUAAUAUGAACACUUACCACGCCGCGAUUUGUUUCUCACCUCAUUCCAACGACGAGCGUUACACCUGUACUAUUUGUACAGCAGGCACUCACUCAAUUUCACCUGCGUGGGUGGGGCGACCAGCCUCCUUAUUAUAUGUUUCUAAUAAAAGUAAUACCUUGAUUGACUA